rnacentral:rRNA from 1 species
AUACGGAGGGUGCAAGCGUUACUCGGAAUCACUGGGCGUAAAGCGCGCGCAGGCGGCUAUUUAAGUUGGAUGUGAAAGCCUAUGGCUCAACCAUAGAACUGCAUCCAAAACUAUUUAGCUAGAGUGUGUGAGAGGAAGAUGGAAUUAGUUGUGUAGGGGUAAAAUCCGAAGAGAUAACUAGGAAUACCAAAAGCGAAGGCAAUCUUCUGGAACACUACUGACGCUGAGGCGCGAAAGCGUGCGGAGCAAACAGGAUUAGAAACCCUAGUAGUCC